GUUGCACUGCAGAAAACCUCCUCACUCAGCCUCCUCCCCAGUCCGUGUCUCCGGGGCAAACCGUCCAACUCCCCUGCACUGGAAGUGGUGGCGGCAGCUGGAACUAUUUCAGCUGGUACCGACAGCCGCCUGGGCAGCGUCCCCAGUUCGUGCUGUAUGGAAGCAGCAGGGGAGAAGGCAUCCCGGAUCGGUUCCCGGAGUCCAGCUCUGGGAGCCCCAACUAUUUAACCAUCACCAACGUCCAGGCUGAAGAUGAGGCUGAGUAUUACUGCAAUGAGAGUUCUUCCGUUCUCUUCAGAACAGGGAAGGCUAUUUCUUGUGGGGGUGAGGGCAGCAAGGGAGAAGGGAUCCCGGAUCGGUUCUCAGGCUCCGGCUAUCAGGGGAACCCCAACUAUCUAACCGUCACCAAUGCCCAGGCUGAAGAUGAGGCUGAGUAUUACUGUGCUGCCUGGGAGAACAACAACUAUGUGUCUCACAGUGGUUGA